rnacentral:rRNA from 1 species
CGUAAAGCGCAUGCAGGUGGUUUGUUAAGUCAGAUGUGAAAGACCCGGGGCGUCAACCUCCGGAAUAGCAUUUGUAAACUAGGCAAACUAAGAGUACUGUAGAGGGGGGUAGGAAUUUCAGGUGUAGCGGUGAAAUAGCGUAGAGAUCUGAAGGAAUACCGGUGGCGAAGGCGGCCCCCUCGGACAGAUACUGACACUCAGAUGCGAAAGCGUGGGGAGCAAACAGGAUUAGAUACCCUGGUAG